CCUACGGGAGGCUGCAGUGAGGAAUAUUGGUCAAUGGGCGCGAGCCUGAACCAGCCAAGUCGCGUGAGGGAAGACGGCCCUACGGGUUGUAAACCUCUUGUGCCGGGGAGCAACGGGCGCCACGUGUGGCGCCACUGAGAGUACCCGGAGAAAAAGCAGCGGCUAACUCCGGGCCAGCAGCCGCGGUAAUACUGAGGAUUCGAGCGUUAUACGGAUUUAUGGGGUUUAAAGGGUGCGUAGGCGGAGCGUUAAGUCAGUGGUCAAAUUGCGGGGCUCCACCCCUUCCGCUCAUUGAAACUGGCGCUCUUGAUUUGAAGAGAAGUAUGCGGAAUGCGUGGUGUAGCGGUGAAAUGCAUAGAUAUCACGCAGAACCCCGAUUGCGAAGGCAGCAUGCCGGCUUCCUCCUGCCGCUGCCGCCCG
rnacentral:rRNA from 1 species